GAUGAAGAACGUAGCGAAAUGCGAUAAGUAAUGUGAAUUGCAGAAUUCAGUGAAUCAUCGAAUCUUUGAACGCACCUUGCACCCUUUGGCAUUCCGAAGGGUAUGCUCGUUUGAGUGUCAUUGUACUCUCACUCUCCCGAUGCUUUUGGAUCGGGAGUGGUGGACUUGGGUGUUGCUGCUUUGCUGUGGCUCGCCUCAAAUGGAGUAGUGCAACUCUUGGUUGGACAUAGUACGGCGUGAUAAGUGUCUUCGCCGGCGCCUCAUUAUAGAGGGUGGCCGAUCGGGAGCUCUGUGCUUCAAACCGUCUUCGGACAACAUCUGACAACUUGACCUCAAAUCGAGUAGGAAUACCCGCUGAACUUAAGCAUAUCAAUAAGCGGAGGA
rnacentral:misc_RNA from 1 species